CGUGCAGGUGGAUUAGUAAGUUACUUAUGAAAGCUCCCGGCUAAACUGGGAGAGGUUGAGUGAUACUGCUAGUCUAGAGUGGAUGAGAGGUUAACGGAAUUCCGCGUGUAGUGGUGAAAUGCGUAGAGAUGCGGAAGAACACCAGUGGCGAAGGCGGUUAACUGGCAUCCAACUGACACUCAGACGCGAAAGCAUGGGUAGCGAACG
rnacentral:rRNA from 1 species